rnacentral:lncRNA from 1 species
AACAGGCAAAAAAUGGGAAAAAUGGCAAAAAAAAUGGGAAUAAAACCAGGAAAAAUGUGAAUAAAGGGCAGGGGAAUGGGUGACCUGGGGUUGGGGACACACCUGUGUCACCUGCGGGGCCAGGUACUGCUGCAGCCGCUGCCUGGGCACGCACCAGGACACCAGGUACCCACAACUGGGCAAAAACCCGGGGAAAAUGGGAAAAACGGGGGAAAAAUGGGAAAAACGGGGAAAAAAUGGGAAUAAAAACCCCAAAAAUGGGAAUAAACGGCAAAAAAAUGGAGAAAAAACAAGGAAAAAAUAGGAAAAAAGGCAAGAAAAUGGGAAUAAAAACUAGAAAAAUGGGGGAAAAGGGCAAAAAAAUGGGACAAAUGGGAAAAAAAUGGGAAAAAUGGCAAAAAAAAUGGGAAAAUGGCAAAAAAACGGGAAUAAAAACAAGAAAAAUGGGGGGAAAGGGAAAAAAAUGGGACAAAUGGGAAAAAAUGGGGAAAAUGGCAAUAAAAUGGGGAAAAACAGGCAAAAAAUGGGAAAAACGGCAAAAAAAUAAGAAAAAUGGCAAAAAAAUGGCAAAAAUGGCGAAAAAACGGGAAUAAAAAUAAGAAAAAUGGGGGGAAACGGGAAAAAAAUGGGAAAAACAACCAAAAAAUAGGAAAAAUGGAAAAAAAUGGGGAAAACAACCAAAAAAUAGGAAAAAUGGCAAAAAAAUGGGGAAAAACAGCCAAAAAAUGGGCAAAAUGGCAAAAAAAUGGGAAUAAAAACAAGAAAAAUGCGGGAAAGGGGAAAAAAAUGGGAAAAACAGCCAAAAAAUGGGAAAAAUUGCAAUGAAAUGGGGAAAAACAGGCAAAAAAUGGGAAAAAUGGCAAAAAAAUGGGAAUAAAAACCCCAAAAAUGGGAAUAAAGGGCAGGGGAAUGGGUGACCUGGGGUUGGGGACACACCUGUGUCACCUGCGGGGCCAGGUACUGCUGCAGCCGCUGCCUGGGCACGCACCAGGACACCAGGUGCCUGAAGUGGACGGUGUGACCACGCCCACAACAUGGCUGCCGCGUGUUCGCCGCAAAAUGGCCGCCGCAUCCACGCCGUGUUUGAUCCCGGGCUUAAAAUGGCCGUCGUGGCUCCACCCCCAAGAUGGCUGCCAUGGCCACACCCCCAAAAUGGCUGUCAUGGCCACACCCCCAAGAUGGCUUCCAUGGUUACACCCCCAAAAUGGCUGCCAUGAUGCAAUUUCCAAGAUGGCUGCCACGGCUCCACCCCCAAGAUGGCUGCCAUGGCCACACCCCCAAGAUGGCUGCCAUACCACACCCCCAAGAUGGCUGUCACGGCCACACCCCCAAGAUGGCUGCCAUGGCCACACCCCCAAGAUGGCUGUCAUGGCCACACCCCCAAGAUGGCUGCCAUCGCCCCACCCACCCCGAGCCCAUUUUGAACCAAAAUCCAGGUUUUUCCUACCAAAAUCUUUGGGAUUGAAU